GUAUUGUUGGAGUCAGUGGGAUGUUGAUAUCAGGUAGUGUAGGAGACAGUGGGAUGUUGAUGUUGAUAUCAGGUAGUGUAGGAGUCAGUGGGAUACCAUGUUGAUAUCAGGUAGUGUAGGAGUCAGUGGGAUGUUGAUAUCAGGUAGUGUAGGAGUCAGUGGGAUGUUGAUAUCAGGUGAUAUAGGAGUCAGUGGGAUGUUGAUAUCAGGUAGUGUAGGAGUCAGUGGGAUGUUGAUAUCAGGUAGUGUAGAGGCAGUGAGAUGUUGAUAUCAGGUAUUGUUGGAGUCAGUGGGAUGUUGAUAUCAGGUAGUGUAGGAGACAGUGGGAUGUUGAUGUUGAUAUCAGGUAGUGUAGGAGUCAGUGGGAUA
rnacentral:lncRNA from 1 species